GUCUUCGUGGUGUAGUGGUCAGCACGCUCGCUGCCUUUCCGAGAGGUCCGUGGUUCGAUUCCCGGCGAAGGCG
rnacentral:tRNA from 1 species